GAGCAGAGAGAACUGGAAAGGAGCGGUUCACCGUGUCAGCCCAAAGUGAUGCGUGUCGCAUGUACUCCACCUCCUGGUCUACAGCUAGUCAUGUGACCCGGCCUAACUCUAAGCAGACUAGGAGGUGAAGUCUUCUGUGUGCCCUGGAAGAAGGAAGAGGAAAUGGGUUUUGGUUUUUCCUUCCAUGUGGAGUUUCGAAAAAGUAGACACCCUGUCUGAAACUGCCAAGCCUGAUACUUAGAACAAAGCAGAUCUAAAGCCCGACAGAAGAGAAUCAUCUGGAGGUCACUCGAGAAGCAUUAUCCCGCCGGUAGCAUGUGCUCAUGUGUGGCCAAGCUAUUUGCAUAAAACCCAAACCUAAAGCUGUCCAGCUCUCUGAACAGUGAAGGGAGGACCUACACAGGUGAAGUGUGUUUAAAUUCCUUUCUUCAACAUGGAAGCCAAGCUUACAACCUCAUAUCGCCAAAUGAGUGCGUUUCAUAAAACGCGGAGCAGCCUGGUCAACUAGAAUGCAGUUGACGGUGUAACUGGCAUAUGUCCUCCUUCUGCACAUGAAUUAGUGGCCCCUACUGUCACCAUCCACCUGUUCUGCUGCAGUUGUCUUCCGACACAGCCUGUCGGGAUUUGCAUUUCUGUUGUUGUUGAGGAAGAUUGUCCUGGAG
rnacentral:lncRNA from 1 species